rnacentral:rRNA from 1 species
AUUGAACGCUGGCGGCAGGCUUAACACAUGCAAGUCGAGCGAGCGGCGGACGGGUGAGUAAUGUCUGGGAAACUGCCUGAUGGAGGGGGAUAACUACUGGAAACGGUAGCUAAUACCGCAUACCAUCAGAUGUGCCCAGAUGGGAUUAGCUAGUAGGGGGGGAAAGGGCUCACCUGGGCGACGAUCCCUAGCUGGUCUGAGAGGAUGACCAGCCACACUGGACCUGAGACGGGGUCCAGACUCCUAGGGGAGGCAGCAGUGGGGAAUAUUGCACAAGGGGCGAAAGCCUGAUGCAGCCAUGCCGCGUGUGUGAAGAAGGCCUUCGGGUUGUAAAGCACUUGCAGCGAGGAGGCGUUACUCGCAGAAGAGGCACCGGCUAACUCCGUGCCAGCAGCGCGGUAAUAC